rnacentral:rRNA from 1 species
AGAGUUUGAUCAUGGCUCAGAUUGAACGCUGGCGGCAGGCCUAACACAUGCAAGUCGAACGGUAACAGGAAACAGCUUGCUGUUUCGCUGACGAGUGGCGGACGGGUGAGUAAUGUCUGGGAAACUGCCUGAUGGAGGGGGAUAACUACUGGAAACGGUAGCUAAUACCGCAUAACGUCGCAAGACCAAAGAGGGGGACCUUCGGGCCUCUUGCCAUCGGAUGUGCCCAGAUGGGAUUAGCUUGUUGGUGGGGUAACGGCUCACCAAGGCGACGAUCCCUAGCUGGUCUGAGAGGAUGACCAGCCACACUGGAACUGAGACACGGUCCAGACUCCUACGGGAGGCAGCAGUGGGGAAUAUUGCACAAUGGGCGCAAGCCUGAUGCAGCCAUGCCGCGUGUAUGAAGAAGGCCUUCGGGUUGUAAAGUACUUUCAGCGGGGAGGAAGGGAGUAAAGUUAAUACCUUUGCUCAUUGACGUUACCCGCAGAAGAAGCACCGGCUAACUCCGUGCCAGCAGCCGCGGUAAUACGGAGGGUGCAAGCGUUAAUCGGAAUUACUGGGCGUAAAGCGCACGCAGGCGGUUUGUUAAGUCAGAUGUGAAAUCCCCGGGCUCAACCUGGGAACUGCAUCUGAUACUGGCAAGCUUGAGUCUCGUAGAGGGGGUAGAAUUCCAGGUGUAGCGGUGAAAUGCGUAGAGAUCUGGAGGAAUACCGUGGCGAAGGCGGCCCCCUGGACGAAGACUGACGCUCAGGUGCGAAAGCGUGGGGAGCAAACAGGAUUAGAUACCCUGGUAGUCCACGCCGUAAACGAUGUCGACUUGGAGGUUGUGCCCUUGAGGCGUGGCUUCCGGAGCUAACGCGUUAAGUCGACCGCCUGGGGAGUACGGCCGCAAGGUUAAAACUCAAAUGAAUUGACGGGGGCCCGCACAAGCGGUGGAGCAUGUGGUUUAAUUCGAUGCAACGCGAAGAACCUUACCUGGUCUUGACAUCCACAGAACUUUCCAGAGAUGGAUUGUGCCUUCGGGAACUGUGAGACAGGUGCUGCAUGGCUGUCGUCAGCUCGUGUUGUGAAAUGUUGGGUUAAGUCCCGCAACGAGCGCAACCCUUAUCCUUUGUUGCCAGCGGUCCGGCCGGGAACUCAAAGGAGACUGCCAGUGAUAAACUGGAGGAAGGUGGGGAUGACGUCAAGUCAUCAUGGCCCUUACGACCAGGGCUACACACGUGCUACAAUGGCGCAUACAAAGAGAAGCGACCUCGCGAGAGCAAGCGGACCUCAUAAAGUGCGUCGUAGUCCGGAUUGGAGUCUGCAACUCGACUCCAUGAAGUCGGAAUCGCUAGUAAUCGUGGAUCAGAAUGCCACGGUGAAUACGUUCCCGGGCCUUGUACACACCGCCCGUCACACCAUGGGAGUGGGUUGCAAAAGAAGUAGGUAGCUUAACCUUCGGGAGGGCGCUUACCACUUUGUGAUUCAUGACUGGGGUGAAGUCGUAACAAGGUAACCGUAGGGGAACCUGCGGUUGGAUCACCU